rnacentral:lncRNA from 1 species
GAGAGCCUCAGCGCCGACAGACGUGUGGAGAUAAGGGAGCUGGUUCUCUGAGCGCCUCCAUGUCCGUUUCUCUUCUGAGAGUCUGGCGGCCCCACCGCCCUGCAGCCCCAGCAAGACUCGGCCCAGGAAUGCGUGCAGCUGCGGCCAUUGGGCAGGGAUUCCGCAGUUGCUCCGCGUGUGAUCUGAUGAACACAGGAAACAUUCCAGUGGGAAACUAAUACUGCUUCAGGGAGAACUCACCGGGGAGGCAAAACAGGUCAGAGUGUAGCCCCUCUGUGGGCCCCCGGGCUCCUUCCCCAAAGCACUUGUGCUACGUUUGUGUAUGUAUUGGUUUUAGAAAUCAGCAAAAGAGUCCGAUGCAUGUUGAAUGUGACUGAAAAGAAGAUAUGAAAACUGUGCUCCAAGAAGAACAAGGCUUUUUAUUUGGUCAGAGAAUCUGCGGUUUUCCUGAGCCGGAUAAGAGCAGUGCUUACGGAGUAGUUUCACAGAGGCAGGCCACACCCAGAGCCGGGAUCCGAAGUUGAGGGGAGCAGGUGUUGGGGGCACUGAAUCAUCCCACCACUCUGCCCUGGACCCUGGAGAGCUGCCGACUUGAUGCUCUAAGGCUACUCAGAGCUGUGAGGUUGGGCUGGGGGACUUCCUGGUGGAGAGGUCCACACAGGAGGAGAGCUGCUGCAACUGGCCUUAUAGGCGCCCUCCUAGCUCUGGAGUUGAGUCAGGUACAGGGAGGUGAGGGUCUCAGAACGAAUCCUCACAAACAGCCACCAGUCUUGAUGACUAAGCGAUUUUACUCGGCUCCUGUCUUGUUUUCCUGUUACAGGUGACCUUGUUGCUUGGCUUAUUGUCAGUGUUAUUUGUCACAGGGACACAAAGGUAUUUCAGGAUUAUUUUUGAACCUGCAUCACCUUGCCAUGUGGAUACCUCCUGAUGGUGUAUCAUGGUUAUCACGCUUCACAUUACAUGGCUUUUUCAGAGACCAUGAAAAUAUAAUGCUGCUGCUGCUGCUAAGCCGCUUCAGUCGUGUCUGACUCUUACCGGCCUCAUGGACUGUAGCCUACCAGGCUCCUCCGUCCAUGGGAUUUUCCAGGCAGGGGUACUGGAGUGGGUUGCCAUUGCCUUCUCCAGAAAACAUAAUAGCACAUUA